CAUGAACCAGAUGCCACGAUCAACUAUAUGCAAAGGACAUUGAGAACCAAUCGAAAUUAGAAAUUCAUCAUGCUUCCAUACAUUGAAAGUCAACAUUGGAUUCUUCUCGUCCUUUCUCUACACAAAAAAACGGUAUAUGUAUUUGAUUCGCUUAGGAGAUCAGAUAGAUCCUUAGCUAUCAAGGAAUCGUUGCAUACCGCAUAUACAUCAUUCCUGCUCCUUGAAGGUAUGAAAAAGGCAACAAAAUUGUCUUGGAUAUCUAUGAAGUGUGCUCAACAAACGGGAUGAGAUGAAUGUGGCUAUUUCGUUAUGAAAAACAUGUUUCAAAUCGUCCGCUAUCUCUAUGAGUCAAAUGAUUUGAAGAAGGAUUUUCCUCAAAGCGUUGAACCAUACACCAUAGAAGAUAUCAACGAAAUCAGAGACAAUUUUGCGCUAUUCUUUCAACAUCUCGUGCUAGCAGAAAAUGCCAAGUAGUGUUAGUGUAGUAAGUGUACUAAGUGUAGUAGAUGUACAUAAUUGGUUUAUUAUUGCAACCUUGGUUGAGUAUAUGGCAACA